rnacentral:misc_RNA from 1 species
AGCAGCCGCGGUAAUUCCAGCUCCAAUAGCGUAUAUUAAAGUUGUUGCAGUUAAAAAGCUCGUAGUUGAAUUUCGGGAUUGGCGCAUCGGUCGUGCCUCACGGGGUAUGAACUGGUGCAGUCAAUUUCUCACCUUCUGGAGAACCGCGAUGUCCUUAAUUGGAUGCCGCGGGGAACCAGGACCUUUACUUUGAAAAAAUUAGAGUGUUUAAAGCAGGCAUUUUUGCUUGAAUACAUUAGCAUGGAAUAAUAAAAUAGGACGGCAUGGUUCUAUUUUGUUGGUUUCUAGGACCACCGUAAUGAUUAAUAGGGAUAGUUGGGGGCAUUAGUAUUCAAUUGUCAGAGGUGAAAUUCUUGGAUUUAUUGAAGACUAACUACUGCGAAAGCAUUUGCCAAGGAUGUUUUCAUUAAUCAAGAACGAAAGUUAGGGGAUCGAAGACGAUCAGAUACCGUCCUAGUCUCAACCAUAAACGAUGCCGACCAGGGAUCGGCGGAUGUUGCUUAUAGGACUCCGCCGGCAC